rnacentral:rRNA from 1 species
UGGGGAAUAUUGCACAAUGGGCGCAAGCCUGAUGCAGCCAUGCCGCGUGUAUGAAGAAGGCCUUCGGGUUGUAAAGUACUUUCAGCGGGGAGGAAGGGAGUAAAGUUAAUACCUUUGCUCAUUGACGUUACCCGCAGAAGAAGCACCGGCUAACUCCGUGCCAGCAGCCGCGGUAAUACGGAGGGUGCAAGCGUUAAUCGGAAUUACUGGGCGUAAAGCGCACGCAGGCGGUUUGUUAAGUCAGAUGUGAAAUCCCCGGGCUCAACCUGGGAACUGCAUCUGAUACUGGCAGGCUUGAGUCUCGUAGAGGGGGGUAGAAUUCCAGGUGUAGCGGUGAAAUGCGUAGAGAUCUGGGGGAAUACCGGUGGCGAAGGCGGCCCCCUGGACGAAGACUGACGCUCAGGUGCGAAAGCGUGGGGAGCAAACAGG